rnacentral:rRNA from 1 species
CGGUAACCUACCCUCGGGAGGGGGAUAACCCCGGGAAACUGGGGCUAAUCCCCCAUAGGCCUGAGGUACUGGAAGGUCCUCAGGCCGAAAGGGGCUCUGCCCGCCCGAGGAUGGGCCGGCGGCCGAUUAGGUAGUUGGUGGGGUAACGGCCCACCAAGCCGAAGAUCGGUACGGGCUGUGAGAGCAGGAGCCCGGAGAUGGACACUGAGACACGGGUCCAGGCCCUACGGGGCGCAGCAGGCGCGAAACCUCCGCAAUGCGGGAAACCGCGACGGGGGGACCCCGAGUGCCGUGGCAUCGCCACGGCUUUUCCGGAGUGUAAAAAGCUCCGGGAAUAAGGGCUGGGCAAGGCCGGUGGCAGCCGCCGCGGUAAUACCGGCGGCCCGAGUGGUGGCCGCUAUUAUUGGGCCUAAAGCGUCCGUAGCCGGGCCCGUAAGUCCCUGGCGAAAUCCCACGGCUCAACCGUGGGGCUUGUUGGGGAUACUGCGGGCCUUGGGACCGGGAGUGGCGGGGGGUACCCCUGGGGUAGGGGUGAAAUCCUAUAGUCCCAGGGGGACCGCCAGUGGCGAAGGCGCCCCGCUGGAACGGGUCCGACGGUGAGGGACGAAGGCCAGGGGAGCAAACCGGAUUAGAUACCCGGGUAGUCCUGGCUGUAAAGGAUGCGGGCUAGGUGUCGGGUGAGCUUCGGGCUCGCCCGGUGCCGUAGGGAAGCCGUUAAGCCCGCCGCCUGGGGAGUACGGCCGCAAGGCUGAAACUUAA